CACGCUGUAAACGAUGUGUGCUAGACGUUGGGGGGUUGCCCUCCGGUGUCGCAGCUAACGCUUUAAGCACACCGCCUGGGGAGUACGGUCGCAAGAUUAAAACUCAAAGGAAUUGACGGGGGCCCGCACAAGCGGUGGAGCAUGUGGUUUAAUUCGACGCAACGCGAAGAACCUUACCAGCUCUUGACAUGGGUAGUAUGGACCUGGGCGACUGGGUCCUUCAGUUCGGCUGGCUACCACACAGGUGC
rnacentral:rRNA from 1 species